CCUCGGAUCAGACGUGAAUACCCGCUGAACUUAAGCAUAUCACUAA
rnacentral:rRNA from 1 species